AGUGAACGCUGGCGGUAGGCCUAACACAUGCAAGUCGAACGGCAGCACAGUAAGAGCUUGCUCUUACGGGUGGCGAGUGGCGGACGGGUGAGGAAUACAUCGGAAUCUACUUUUUCGUGGGGGAUAACGUAGGGAAACUUACGCUAAUACCGCAUACGACCUACGGGUGAAAGCAGGGGAUCUUCGGACCUUGCGCGAUUGUAUGAGCCGAUGUCGGAUUAGCUAGUUGGCGGGGUAAAGGCCCACCAAGGCGACGAUCCGUAGCUGGUCUGAGAGGAUGAUCAGCCACACUGGAACUGAGACACGGUCCAGACUCCUACGGGAGGCAGCAGUGGGGAAUAUUGGACAAUGGGCGCAAGCCUGAUCCAGCCACACCGCGUGGGUGAAGAAGGCCUUCGGGUUGUAAAGCCCUUUUGUUGGGAAAGAAAAGCAGCAGGUUAAUACCCCGCUGUUCUGACGGUACCCAAAGAAUAAGCACCGGCUAACUUCGUG
rnacentral:rRNA from 1 species